rnacentral:rRNA from 1 species
AUUGAACGCUGGCGGCAGGCCUAACACAUGCAAGUCGAACGAGUGGCGGACGGGUGAGUAAUGUCUGGGAACCUGCCUGAUGGAGGGGGAUAACUACUGGAAACGGUAGCUAAUACCGCAUACCAUCGGAUGUGCCCAGAUGGGAUUAGCUAGUAGGUGGGGUAACGGCUCACCUAGGCGACGAUCCCUAGCUGGUCUGAGAGGAUGACCAGCCAAACGGGAACUGAGGCACGGUCCAUACGCCUACGUGAGGCAGCAGUGGGGAAGAUUGCACAAGGGGAGAAAGCCUGAUGGAGCCAUGCCGCGUGUAUGAAGAAGGCAUGAGGGUUGUAAAGUAGUUUCAGCGGGGAGGCGUUACCCGCAGAAGAAGCACCGGCUAACUCCGUGCCAGCAGCCGCGGUAAUUC